ACACUCUCAGGAUGGCACCUGGAGGGUUUCUAGUACUCUACCAGUCUUGGCUAUGGGAGGGAGAGUCAAGCAGGGGCAUAUCCACUCCAUUCCUAGCUUGGGAAGUGGCUAGCAAGUGGAAGGCAAUCUGCUACAAGU